rnacentral:tRNA from 1 species
GCCCGAAUGGCGGAAUGGUAGACGCGCUAGUUUCAGGUACUAGUAAUUUUUAUAAUUAUGGAAGUUCAAAUCUUCUUUCGGGCA